AUCUAGCUGACGAGUCACAAAUUGGACGAAACGUAUGUCCUGGAU
rfam:Schistosoma rodhaini strain Burundi genome assembly, scaffold: SROB_scaffold0003629